UGAGGGAAUAUUGGGUCAAUGGGGCGGAAGCCUGAACCAGCCAAGUAGCGUGAGGGAAGACUGCCCUAUGGGUUGUAAACCUCUUUUGUUUGGGAGCAAAGUGCGCCACGUGUGGUGUAUUGCGAGUACCAUUCGAAUAAGCAUCGGCUAAUUCCGUGCCAGCAGCCGCGGUAAUACGGAAGAUGCGAGCGUUAUCCGGAUUUAUUGGGUUUAAAGGGUGCGCAGGCGGCGCGAAAAGUCAGCGGUCAAAGUUCCGGGCUCAACCCGGUGACGCCGUUGAAACUUUCGUGCUGGAGUUCGUGCGAGGGAGGCGGAAUGCGUUGUGUAGCGGUGAAAUGCAUAGAUAUGACGCAGAACCCCGAUUGCGAAGGCAGCUUUCCAGCACGCGACUGACGCUGAGGCACGAAAGCGUGGGGAGCGAACAGGAUUAGAUACCCUGGUAGU
rnacentral:rRNA from 1 species